UUAAUUGAAGCCAAAAUAGAGGUCUGUUACUGUUAAUAACAUAAAUGAAUUUAAUUCCAAUUAAA
rnacentral:tRNA from 1 species